GAUGAACGCUGGCGGCGUGCCUAACACAUGCGAGUCGAGCGAUCUUCUUCGGAAGAGAGCGGCGGACGGGUGAGUAACGCGUGGGUAACCUGCCCUGUACACACGGAUAACAUACCGAAAGGUAUGCUAAUACGAGAUAAUACGCUUUUAUCGCAUGGUAGAAGUAUCAAAGCUCCGGCGGUACAGGAUGGACCCGCGUCUGAUUAGCUAGUUGGUAAGGUAAUGGCUUACCAAGGCGACGAUCAGUAGCCGACCUGAGAGGGUGAUCGGCCACAUUGGAACUGAGACACGGUCCAAACUCCUACGGGAGGCAGCAGUGGGGAAUAUUGCACAAUGGGCGAAAGCCUGAUGCAGCAACGCCGCGUGAGCGAUGAAGGCCUUCGGGUCGUAAAGCUCUGUCCUCAAGGAAGAUAAUGACGGUACUUGAGGAGGAAGCCCCGGCUAACUACGUGCCAGCCGCCGCGGUAA
rnacentral:rRNA from 1 species